AUGGGGGCGAGCACCCUGCUGAUCUGGAUGGGGGCGACGUCGGCGCAGGAGAAGGCGUACCUUGAGCAAUGGCGCAAGCGACGGCUGGCCGAGGAGCGCCACGAGGGCGAGUACCUCGAGCAGUUGGAGCGCGACGCCGAGGAGGAGCAGCGCGAGACGGAGGAGGCGAGCCAGGCCCAGCCCGCGGUGGCAUAG
rnacentral:rRNA from 1 species